UGAACUAUGUCUGGGCAGGGCGAAGCCAGAGGAAACUCUGGUGGAGGUCCGUAGUGGUCCUGACGUGCACAUCGGUCAUCCGACCUGGGUAUAGGGUGGCGAAAUACUCAUCGAA
rnacentral:ncRNA from 1 species